AAGGUCCAUUUGCAUAAAAAAAUUAAACGGGCUUUGUCGGGUCUGUCCGCUAAUGUCCAUUUAAUAAACGAGUUUAUACAAAAUUACACGGGCCGUCCGUUUAGCCUGUUAAUAUUUUUUCAUAUGUAAAACGAUGUUUUCGUUAGAAACAAUUGUAAAUCUCUAAAGCCCCAAUUUUUAUCGUGAUUCCUAUGUUCAUCUCUCUCUCUC
rnacentral:lncRNA from 1 species